UACAGAGGUCUCAAGCGUUGUUCGGAUUCAUUGGGCGUAAAGGGUGCGUAGGCGGCGCGGUAAGUCGGGUGUGAAAUCUCGGAGCUUAACUCCGAAACUGCAUUCGAUACUGCCGUGCUGGAGUAUGGGAGAGGUGAGUGGAAUUCCUGGUGUAGCGGUGAAAUGCGUAGAUAUCAGGAGGAACACCGGUGGCGAAGGCGGGUCUCUGGGCCGAAACUGACGCUGAGGAGCGAAAGCGUGGGGAGCAAACAGG
rnacentral:rRNA from 1 species